AUUGAACGCUGGCGGCAGGCCUAACACAUGCAAGUCGAGCGAGCGGCGGACGGGUGAGUAAUGUCUGGGAAACUGCCUGAUGGAGGGGGAUAACUACUGGAAACGGUAGCUAAUACCGCAUACCAUCAGAUGUUCCCAGAUGGGCUUAGCUAGUAGGGGGGGUAAUGGCUCACCUAGGCGACGAUCCCUAGCUGGUCUGAGAGGAUGACCAGCCACACUGGAACUGAGACACGGUCCAGACGCCGACGGGAGGCAGCAUUGGGGAAUAUUGUACAAGUGGCGCAAGCCUGAUCCAGCCAUGCCGCGUGUGUGAAGAAGGGCUUCGGAUUGUAAAGCACUUUAAGUGGGGAGGCGUUACCAACAGAAUAAGCACCGGCUAACUUCGUGCCAGCAGCCGCGGUAAUAC
rnacentral:rRNA from 1 species